rnacentral:rRNA from 1 species
GUGAGGAAUAUUGCGCAAUGGAGGCAACUCUGACGCAGCCAUGCCGCGUGCAGGAAGAAGGCGCUACGCGUUGUAAACUGCUUUUAACCGGGAAGAAACCCCAGGACGUGUCCUGGGUUGACGGUACCGGAGGAAUAAGCACCGGCUAACUUCGUGCCAGCAGCCGCGGUAAUACGAAGGGUGCAAGCGUUAUCCGGAUUCAUUGGGUUUAAAGGGUGCGUAGGCGGAGCGUUAAGUCAGUGGUGAAAUCCUGCAGCUUAACUGUAGACUUGCCAUUGAUACUGGCGCUCUUGAGUGCGCUUAAAGUGGGCGGAAUGUGCCGUGUAGCGGUGAAAUGCUUAGAUAUGGCACAGAACACCAAUUGCGAAGGCAGCUCACUAAGGCGAUACUGACGCUGAGGCACGAAAGCGUGGGGAUCGAACAGGAUUAGAUACCCCAGUAGUCC